rnacentral:rRNA from 1 species
UCUGGUGACUAUUGCGGAGGGGCCACACCCGAUCCCAUCCCGAACUCGGAAGUUAAGCCCUCCAGCGCCGAUGGUACUGCAGGGGGGACUCUGUGGGAGAGUAGGUCGUUGCCAGAU